CGUCACACCACGAGAGUUGGCAAUACCCAAAGUUCGUGAGCUAACCCGUAAGAGGCAGCGACCUAAGGUAGGGUCAGCGAUUGGGGUGAAGACGUAACAAGGUAGCCGUAGGAGAACCUGCGGCUGGAUCACCUCCUUUCUAUGGAGAAAUCUAGUUAACAUGAUGUUUAACUAGUAAUUAAAAUAUACUUACUUCGAAAAAGAAGGUUUAGUUUAAUGUAGAUUCUGUUCAAUUUUGAAAGACUAAGUCUUUCAAAAUGUUCUUUGAAAAUUGCACAUAGUAAAUUGUAUAUAAUACAACAAGCCAAGAAUAUAUUCUUUGUAUAAAUAAGAACUAUUCAUUAAUUGUUAAAAUUAGAUUAAUA
rnacentral:misc_RNA from 1 species